GACGAACGCUGGCGGCGUGCUUAACACAUGCAAGUCGAGCGGUAAGGCCCUUUCGGGGUACACGAGCGGCGAACGGGUGAGUAACACGUGGGUGACCUGCCCUCAGCUCUGGGAUAAGCCUGGGAAACCGGGUCUAAUACUGGAUAUGACUCCAUGACGCAUGUUGUGGGGUGGAAAGCCUUGUGCGGCUGAGGAUGGGCCCGCGGCCUAUCAGCUUGUUGGUGGGGUGAUGGCCUACCAAGGCGACGACGGGUAGCCGGCCUGAGAGGGCGACCGGCCACACUGGGAC
rnacentral:rRNA from 1 species